UAUAAAAAGUAAACACAGGAUCCAUGGAGGAUUGCAUUUGCAAUAUUCACAAUGUGGGCUAUAAUUCUGUGAUGUUAUGAGAAAAAUAAAUGGGAAAAAGGCAAUAAUACCCUUGAAGUCGGUUUAAAUGAAUUAGAAGUACUGUGGUAAUUGAAUAAAUCUUGAUAAAUAUAAAUAGAAUAAAAAAACAAAGAGAAAAAUCUGGUUUGAGAUAAGAAAGGGGGAAAGAAGAAGAAGAGAAAAGAGGGAUAGAUAAAGGAAGGAGAAGAGAGUUUGAGAAAAUGAGCUUAAAAGGACACGGACUGCUGAAAUACAAGAUUAAUAGCUUCCGUAAUAUGGGAACUAGCAACUAGUUCAACUGCCACGAGAGGGGACACCAUGCCACCGGUCCUCCCUACAGCAUCUGCAACUCCGGCGCCCAGUUGCCCUCACAGCUGUUGGAUAUAACUACAGCAAAGGAAACGGUGGAGAAGAAGCUAUUCGAGACUGUUGAAUUCGAAAAUUUCUUCUAUGGCAACAAAAGUGGUUAAUUUCACAUGAUAAGUUCAUCAUAACGGGAGUCGGUCACUCCCAGAAGACCCCUCUCUGUAACUGAAUGAGAAGACAUUGAACAUGCUUGCAAACAAUGGGCAGUAUAAUGUAUAAAGAUACUUCACAACAAAGCAAAGAAGACAGCAUAUCAUACUCUUGAUCAUAUUUCUAGUACCCAUGCUUUCUCAUAUUCGCCACUUGCUGAUUGAUCAACUACGACAACAGAAAGAGCAAGGGAAAAGAGAAAAGAAGCCAAGUUUCUUUGCAGUUUCAUACAUAGGCAUUAUCAUCUUUCCUCUCUACAAAAAAUACUUUCUAAAGUUAAUUUAAGGAUUUGUAAACUGAAUAUAAAAUAUUUAAUAAUAAAAUUUUGAAUUAAAGUUUUGUAUGA